AGCAGCCGCGGUAAUUCCAGCUCCAAUAGCGUAUAUUAAAGUUGUUGCAGUUAAAAAGCUCGUAGUUGAAUUUCGGGGUCAGUAGAUUGGUCGUGCCACUGGUAUGUACUGGUCUCACUGGCUCCUCCUUCCUGAUGAACCGUAAUGCCAUUAAUUUGGUGUUGCGGGGAGACUGGACUGUUACUUUGAAAAAUUGAGUGUUUAAAGCAGGCUAACGCUUGAAUACAUUAGCAUGGAAUAAUGAAAUAGGACGUUCGAUCUUAUUUUGUUGGUUUCUAAGAUUGACGUAAUGAUUAAUAGGGAUAGUUGGGGGCAUUAGUAUUCAAUUGUCAGAGGUGAAAUUCUUGGGUUAUUGAAGACUAACUACUGCGAAAGCAUUUGCCAAGGAUGUUUUCAUUAAUCAAGAA
rnacentral:rRNA from 1 species